rnacentral:misc_RNA from 1 species
GCCAGUACUGCGGUCACCAACCCGCCUGCCCAGCGUGGUGACUAUGGGCAAAACACAUGAGCUCACGUUAUUUUUGGCGUAAACUUGUGGAGGCCUAUAUCCAGCAGUGGACUGUAUAGGCUGUAAUGAUGAAUGAUGAUAUGCUAUAUUAUAUUAAUAGGUAAAUAAAUUAUAUGCUAGUUUUUUGUGCAUCUAUCGUUGUUCUUCUCAUAUGUACCUAUACGUACCGUAAAACCUUACAAGAUUGCCCAGCUUAUCUGAGUUUGCUCAGCAAGGUACUUUUCACAAAUAUUUAAAAAACCGGCAAUAUUUUUUUGCUGUGCUUAGUUUUUAAACUAUGGAAGAAAAUUGAAUAUGUGUCCUGCAAUACUAAUUAACUGAUUUUUUCUUACGUCAUUUCAGUUGGCUAUUAAACUGUGUUGAAGUUGGUGGUAUAUUUUGCGGGCCAAAAUUCGUGUGAAAAACUCUCUUUAAAACUCGAUUUGUAAUAAUCCCAAGGUGGGCAAGUUUUUGACCAUUGAAAGAUCGAAUAUCCGAUGCGAAAUCUCUCUUAAAUUCAAAAAUAUGAUGGUGGGCAUUGUCAAAUUAGUUUUUCCAAAGUAGUUGUUACAACUUUGUCCACCAAAAUGUUGUCGUUAAGGUUGUCACCUCAAUGUUAAAUUGGAUUCGAGAUAAGUAGAUACUAUUUUUUUCAUUAAUUUCGAAACUACCUAAGUGCAUACUUAAAUAGUAAUUUCAUAAUCCUUUGUUUUCAUUAAUUUUGUAAUUUAAUUUUGAAAUCAAUACAUGAGCUGAAAAUGAAAAUUUUGUUGAAAAG